rnacentral:lncRNA from 1 species
AGGGUUCUGUCAAAUUGGCACAGCUUUUUUUCUGUUUUUUUGGUAAAUAAAUAUAUAUAUAAUAUUUUGAAAUUUUUUAAUUUUUUAUAAUAAUUUAGUAAAAAAACCCCGAAAACAAUACGUAUAUCCCAUUUGUCUCUCUUUCUCUCUCUCUCUCUCUGUUUUCAAAAUUUUUAUCAUUCUUUUUCAGUUUUGGUUCAACUAGAGGCAAAAAAAAAAAAAAAAAAACACAUACACACGCUACAGUAGAAAUACAAUUUUCGUGAGAGAGAUAAAUCUUAAGUUUUCUUAGCCAUUUCCUUUUUAUUUUUUGUGAUAUUGAAAUCCCUUGCCUCAUCGGAGGGUCAUUUUAGGUAUGGAUCUUUAUUUCAACUUUCUUUGCCUUUUCAUGUCUUAUUUAGUUUCAGAUCUAUUCUUCUCAACUUGUAUUUCUGUAGGUAUUUUUUUGUUUUCAGCUUUAGAACAAGUUAGUUUUUUCCUUUUCGUCUGUGUUGUAGUUCUCAGAUCUAUGCUUAUUUAGAUGUAUUUCAGUGGGUUAUUUUGGGUCUUCAGCCAUAGGAAAUAUUUUGUCCGGUUCGUCUUUUCAAAUCUAUGGAUGUCGAUGUGGUUGUUCUUGUUGUUAGUUUAUCGUCUACUAUGUAUUUCAUUUUUCUGUUGUUUGUUUCCCUCUGUUUUUAAGAUUAUUUCUUUUUUGUUAUGAUCACUAUCUUUGAAAUCAUUGAGUGCUAUUUAUUAGUCUUUAUUGCAGUUAGAAGUGUUUUUAAGAACUAUUUAAAUAUCUAUAACAAAGAUAACAUGAAAUCGUAAUUAAUUUUACGACACAAAGCUUUCUGCUUUAUCUUUAAUUUUUAGUGCUCAUAUGUUAAUUACAUAAAUAUUUUGUUUUCUCUUCGGGUCCGGUCUUGUCCUGGGUAUGUUUACUUCUCUUGCUGAUUUGCAAAGAAAGGUGAGCAAACAUAUAAAUGGAAUUGCGUCCCUUUGGCUGUUUGGGGAAUGAAAGAAACUCUGGUUCUACAAGAGUUAGAUUUGAUUUGAAUUUGGGUUUUCUGAAUUUCUCAUUUUCAUCUCUGUUUUAGAAAAGAAUGGGUCUUGCUCUUGCAUAUCUAGAUCUGUGAGCAACAUGUGCUUAAAUGGUGUUGUGGUUGUUCUUUUUUUUUUUUACAAAUCUAUUAUUUAGAUUUAGUUUGUUUUUCUUUUUGCUAAUAUGCUUGGGUUGCGAAUAGAUCGACCACAGCUUUGAAGUUGGAAACAUCAGAUCUAAUGUUUCUUUAUCUUGUAACCUUGUUGCAUGAGUUGUUUGUAUUAGCUAAGUUUGACAUUUGAAAAGAAGUAUUUUCAUGCCUUGAUGGUGACAUUUUUUUUAUGUUUUAUUGAGUUGUUUAUGUUUUGUUGGUAUUUCCAAGAAUAUGUUAUAUUUUAUUUAUUGGAUGAAUUUCAUACAAUUAUUUUUUUGUUUGUUGGUGAUAUUUGCUUAUAUUGUUUUGUAUUUUACGUAAAUUUUGGUUUGUAUGCAGCAGUUGAUACUUCAGAGACUGAAGUGAGAAGCUUGAUUCUGUUAGGUCAAAAUUGUAAGUGUUAGUUUAUGUACUAUUUUUUUAUUUUGUUAAUUUCCAAAUUGACCUCUUAUGGCAAUAGGACCUACCUUUACCGUAAUGGUGAAUAACCAAGCUUUUGAAACUUUAAGUCACUAGAUAUAUAAUAAAUGAAAGCAUCUUUCAUAUUUAUUUCCCCUUUAUUAUCUCCUAUUUCACCUAUUUUUUCUAACGUUUCUUUUCUAUUAAUUCCCCCCAUAUAAAGAAUUAGUGAUUUAAUGAAGGAAUAAAAUGUUAACGUUUAAAGUGAAUGGGUAUUGAAAGUGUGGCAUGUGAGAGGAUUCAAAAAUUCAAAAAUUUGCUUGUUGUCUUUCCCCUAUCGUGCUUAUGUCUUUUCACAUCUCUCUUUUGGGUACGAUUCUCAGAGUACUCACUUACUCCGUUGUAAUUAUUACAACUUGACCCGUAUACUUGUGAAUACUGCCUUAUUUAUAUAUAUCUUUUGCUAUAGUAUUUACACCCUGGAUGUUAGUACGUCCGAAAGCAAUCAAGUGGCCACACGAGUUUAUCUCCUUCACACUGCCAUUUGACCCCUGUUUACACUUUUUACAUAAAACUUCGUAGAAGUGUCAAAUUAGUCCAAAAUUUAUCCUGAUUUGUUUUAAAUGUUCUGUAGGCUCGAUUUAAGGCCUAUUUUCAUAAAUAUACUAUGAAUGUUAACUAAUUAUGAAUAAUUGAUAUUUAAAUUUAAUUUUGAAUAGUAAAAGUCUGUUAUUGAAUUGGUUAUCUAUCGUAAUACUCCGUAACUCUAAUCUGACAGCGGAGACGGAUUAGGGGUGUUACAAUACAUAUAAAGCAAUUACAUCUUUACUACAAUAUGGGUAUAUUUCCCAAAAAUUUGAAUGAAGUAAACUAAGGGGGUGAACUUGAAAGCAGUAUACCAAAUAUAUCAAAAGCAUGCAAGUAAAUAGAGAUAACAAUAAUAACAAUGUCAUAGAUCACAGCUUUUUAGAAUAUAUAGAAUCACAGAGUUCUCAGAAUGUAUGUACUUAUCUAUGAAUGUCAGUGGAAUUUCCUACCCAUCCAUCGUCUACACACCAUGAGUUUCCCAGAACUUAUCCAUCCGUACACACCAUACCAAUAAGAGUCGUAGCUCAUUGUGGAUAAACCACUAGUAACAGUAAAUAUUUAUAGAUAAAUUGCUAGUAAUUUAGGGUUGAAAAAUAUUGCGGAUGAACUGCCAAAAGUUCAAAUAAUACUUCAGUGUUGCGGAUAUACUGCCAGAACUCCAAUAUUUACGGAUUAAUCUCCAAAACUCCCAUAUUUGUGGAUAAAUUGCCAGAACUCCACAUAACUCCUCUAUCACCAAUCUUCCCAACCCCAUGCAACAAAAUGGCAUAACAAGCAUGGCAGAAUUAGAUACAAUGCAGAACCAUGACAUGUUUUAACAUGUGAUCAAUAAAUCAGUAGCAGUGGCAUGCCUUUCAUGCAAUCGAUAAACACGGAAACAAUGGCAUGCUUUUAGUCAUGCAAUCGGUCGACACAGAAGCAACAACAUGUCUUGAUGCAUUCAGUGAACAUGUGAUAACAAUCAAUAUCAUACAUUAGCGGUGUAUACAUACUUAGUCAUAACAGACAAACCCUUAGGCACAUUCGGCCAACUACAAAAUAAACACAAACACAUUCAACAAGCAUCCCAAAUUAAUACAUAUCACAUUCGACUACUUCAAAAGACACUAUAAAUUCGGCCAAAGCUUAAGAGAACACAAACACAAAUUCGAUUCAACAUGAUUUGUAUACAGAUGCAUUCAGUUAUCACCAAAUCACAUGAUUUACUUUUGAAUAGGACAUGCACACCUCAAUAUACGUCUAAAAAGAAUUAACAAUUGUCUAGAACAUCUCUCCGAUUCAGAUUUGGAUCGGUAGCUACCAGAUCUGUAUGUAGAAUAGUGAAAGACACAAAAUAAGAGGUGAGAUUAGACCAUUCACGCUAAUAAGUUCGGUCAACAAAAGAAAAAGAAAGGAAAUACGAGAUUUAAUUUAUUUACUGUCAACUUACACUAUACCAAAGUAUGAUGAAUCAGUGGAGAUCUUGAGCAAUCAUAUGAUUCAGCCAAGGAUGAUGAUCCAAAUUCGAUUAUCAACAAAUAAUGUUAAUGAGAACAGAAAAAGAAUGCAAAAAAGAAAAGAUGUUGCGACAAUGGUGAAUCAAAAAGAAAAAAGAGUAGUGAUGGUGCGACACAAUGGAUAGAAGUUCGAGGAAAAAGGAAGCUGAGAUUCGACCAAUAUGGUACAGAGUAGAGAAAAGAAAAUGGGGAGUAAAGGGAUGAGCUGAGGGUGUCACAAAAAAAAGGAAGAAAACUAUGGUUUAGAGGAGCAAUAAUGGUGAAAGAAGAAGAAAAAUUAGAGAAAAUGAGAGAAAGAAGGAGAGAGGCAGUAAGAAGGAGCAAAAAUGAUUAAAAAAAAGGCUGAAAACAACAAAAAGAAUAUUAUAUACUAGGGUUUCAAUGCAAGGGGUGACACAUUUUGGGUAAAAAUAUUGUAAAUAAAAAUUAUACGUAAGAGGGGAAUUGAACUCAAGUUUCAAGAGCAAAUUCACUAACUCUUAUCCAAUAGACCAAUUACUUAUUCUUAUUACAAACACUUAAGAUAAGAUUCAAAUUGGGGUGUGACUACUCUGUCAAUUUACAAACCUGAUUUUUAGGAUGUGAUAGUGGUACAGAAAAAGAUGGUUUUAGAGAUCCAUCUCUAUAAAUCGGGUCUAUAAAUAUUAAAUUAAAAUAUCCACAGAGUUGGUAUUAAAGAAGAUUAAAGUUUGGUCCUUUAAUUUUACCUAUUAAUUGUUUAAUUAGGGUACAAAGACUAAAUUAUAAAAGUGCAAUUGCUAUAGAUUUUUAAAUAGCUAAACGUUCAAAAUUGUAAAUAGACCAUUUUAUUUCAUCAAAUGGUGGUGGAUGAUGUUAAAAUCCACUACCUUUGGCUAAUUAAGAUUAAUGUUUGGUUAAUUAAAGUUUAAUUGAUUAAUUUUGAUAAAGUUUAAUCAAAAGUAUAUAAGUUAAAAUUAAAGAGAGAAAAACCAUUAUUUUCUAUUCAUCUUUUUCUCCACCGAACAAAGAAGGCAGAAAACCUUUAAGGAAGCUUCAACCAUUCAACCCCUAAUUUGUCAGUUCAAUUAAGUCUUUUUUUUUUUGCAAUUUUUAUGUUUUUAAGGUUAUUGGAGCUGGAUUUAGCUAGUCCAUUUACCAAUUUGUAAAACUGUUAAAAUUUUUGAUAGUUUCCAUUGUUGAUUUCUUGAAGAAAUUAGUGUUAAAUUGAAAAAUUUUAAGCUUAGAUGUGAAAAAUGACUAGAUUGUAAUGUUUAAAUUAUUAGUUUUGUACAAAAGGACUAAAGUGAAUAAAUUUUGAAAUUGAAGUAAAAUUUUGGUAAGAAUAGAUGGUAUAGGGUCUAUAAUGGAUGUGAUUGAGAUCGGUUUUGAAACCAAAGCUCAAAUUUGAAAUAUUAUUAUUUCGGUGUUAGGGACUAAAUUGAAUAAAAUGCAAAAUUUAAAGGGCAUUUAGAAAAUAAAAUUAAAUUGGUUCAUGCAUAUCCUGCAAUGAUACAUAAAAUUAUCGAUUAGUCGCUAGAGGUUCAACUUGUUUGUUGUUUUUUCUAGGUAAGUUCAUAUGGUAUUUAUAACUUAGAUUGUAUGUAUUUGAAUUAUAUAUGUAUGUUUGAUUGUAAAUUGAAUUGGUUGUAAAUUGGUACGAAAAGGUGAGAAUUGGACUAAAUUGAACAGUGAUGAUUAUAAGUGUAAUAGAUACCCAUGUGAACUUAGUAAAGGUUAGGAUAUAAUUGGCAUGCCAAUAGGGUCUUAUGCGUGCUUCUACAAGAUAUGUGUUUGUACGGAUCCAGCAUGUUGUGGAUCAUCGAGAAUUAUAUGAUUCUAUAAAGACCUUGGUGUGGUGGAGGGAUGUAUUAGCAUGUGAAUAUGAAAACGAUGCCUAUGGGCUUUGCACUCGAUACCCUUGAGUGAUGUAGUUCCAGCUCAAAUGAGCAACCUAGUGUAGUGUAGUUACCUUAGUAUCCGAGCCCGUUAAACUGAGCAUGAGCAUGGUAUUAAAAUGUUAAUUCUAAAAUGAAUUGGAUAGAUAUAUUUUGAGAUACCAUAUGGUUUGAUUAUAUGUUAAACUCACCUUUUUGAUGUUGUUUUUUGUUAUGUCUAGUUAAUUAUGCCAAAUCAUGGUAGCAUAUUGUAUUUGAUAGCAUGAUAAGGUAAGUUUUUGUUUAAUGCCUAUAAACUUACUAAGCAUCGUAUAUGCUUACCCUGUAUGUUUUCCCUUUCCCUUGUAAAUCAUCAUCAUCUUGCAGAAUGUGUCAAGUCGGAUCGACUUGAAGUUCACACUACCAUUAUUUUGAUAGUUAUUUUGAUUAUCUGGAGUUAAGGAAUUAUGGCAUGUAAAUAAGUGUUCCAAUACAUCCUUUAAUGUAUAAAUGUCUUAAUAAGUUUAAUAUCUUGUGAUGAACUUGAUAUAUGAUGAUUUCUCAUGUUGUUCAUAGCAAAUGGAUUGGUUAAUGCAUAAAUUACCAAUGUUUGAUGCGUGUGGAAAGUAGAAAUAUGAAUUCCCUUAAAUUUGGUAAGUUUGAUUUAUGUGUUUGAAAUAUAUGUUAGUUUAAUUGUGUAACACCUUAUACCCGACCCGGUCGUCAAGCUUGAAUAUCAGGAUGUCACACCACCGUCACACAUCACACAUUAUAAAAUGUCUUCACAUUAAUAGGUGAUUGUCAUUUUUCUUAGCGUUCUUACAAAUUUUUAAGUCAAGCAUAUAUAUUAAUCAUCAUUAAAACAUGCCAAACAUACUUUAAACUAAAUUAUAAUAUCAAUUAAACAUGCAUUAGAGCCACUUAGCAAAAUUCCAAAACAAGUUAUGUUGGUAUCGACACUAAAACAAAGGUAUUGAUAUUUUCCUUAUAUGGUAUCGAUACUGUUUGGAAAAUGAAUACCAAAAAAGCAUUUUGUUUCUUGUUUAAAAAUAAAAUCCUAGAAAAUACUGGUACAUUUAUUGAAGUAUCGAUUAUUUUACACUGAGUAUCGAUACUCGUGAUAAGGCAUUGAUACCAAACCAAAAUACUAACUUCUUGCACAACGAAAUAUCACAGAGGUAUCAUUUUUAAAACCUGAAUAUUGAUACCUCUACUCUAGACACAAAAAAUACAACAUAAUAAGAAAAAUAAUGCAUCCCAAUCAUAAACCAUUCAACAUGUAACUAAUGUCUCGUCAAAUAAACAUCAAAAUAACCACAAUAAUAGUUCAAUCAUCAAAAACAUGUCCGAGUAAUCAAGCGACAUAGCAAGAGCAAUAUCCAUAAAUCCUAAGAUUUAAUAAGAUAUGAAAAUAACCAAAACAUAAUGGCAACAUUUAUGCAAUACUUUUACUACAUUACCUUUAUUUCCCAAAUCUAAACAAAUAAUAAAUCACCUAUGAAUAAUUACAAAGUUUAGCUUGGAUUAAUCCCUUGGAGCCACACUGCUCACACCAAAACGCUACUAAUCUGCAAUGGAUUAAAAGGAGUAGGUGAGCUUAACAAGCUCAGUGAAUGUCUAGAACAACUACCACACAUAUAGUUCAUCAAGCAUUAAUGAAACAUCCAUUUAGCAUAAUUACAACAUCUCAAUUUUAUUUUCAUAUUACUUGUGUUAGAGUGUGCCCAAAGAUCAAUCAUGAGAUGGUUGUAAUAACAUACUUGAUUUAUCAUGUUUAUUAAUAUAAUGCGUUACCAUUAUUAUUUCAGUUUUUUUUCUGUGUAUAAAUAAAUUGUUUUAUAAUAAUGUCCUGAGAAAAAUAUGAUUCUUAAAAGGUCAUUAGUCAAGUAUUAUUGUUGAUAGGACAACAAUAAUGCAUUAAGACUAACAUGUAGUUGAUUGAUAAUAAAGAGUUGUCAUUGAUAUGGAAUGUCAAAAUCGAUGCAUGAAUAUGUGUGUUAGAGAACAACAUAUUGGACUGACCCGUUAUCAGUAUGUUUCUUGGAUUAUUAUGUAAUUGUCGCAAAAUUACUCAUAGUGAUUAAUAUGUAUAUGAUCCUCAGACUUGAGAUCAUCAUAAUCCUAACAUCGUAAGUUGUAUAUUUUGAUACAGUCAAACGUACACUGUAACUGGUUGUUCUAUAAAGACUAAUGUUGAAUAUACCACGAUCUGUGUAGAGGGAUAUGGUUGAUCGAUAUAGGAUAAGUCCCUCCUACAUAAUGGGAGUAAUAUCUUAGGCCACUUGAUUUUGUGAGACUAGAAAUGCAUGGUCAUGCUCAAAUAAGCUGAUAUGAGAUGUCAUACUUAUUUGUAUAUCAUAGUCUAUUUAAGAUAUCAAGGAACAUGGAAUGGACUAUGCAAGUGUGACUAUUCCAUGACUUGUGUCCAAUCUAGAGAUAAAUGACUUAAGGAUUAUUGCAUGAAAGGUUAAUAAUAAAAAGGUUAUGUCGAAUCAUGAUUUCUUGUGACUUUGGUAGCAAUGAUACAUUACUAAGUGCCACUCAUUGUUUGUAACAUUGGAAUUGUUCUAGUAUUACUGCUAGCGUUACAAUAACCUAUAGGGUCACACCCUGUAGUUGAAAUAAACGGAAUAAAACAUAGUUGGUAUUGUGUUUGGUUGUCGCUUGAAUUAAAUUAAUUAUAGAAUUAAUUUAAUUGUGUAAUCAAAUAUCGAACACAUUAUGUACAAGGUUGUUGUACGCAUAAUGAGAACAUGAAUUUGGUUAGUUUAUAAAUUCAAAUAAAUAUAUAGUUUACCGAAAUCAUUAUUAUAAUUAAUGUAAUUAUAAUUUUCGGUUUAAAACAUUGUUAUAUUUAUUUAAUUUCUAGAAACUUUAAAAAUAGAUAUAAAAAUCCCGUUUUUCUUUGCUUGGGGUCUAGCAGCCGUCAAAGCAAAGUUUUUUCCAAAAACAGUUUUGGGGGUUCCUUCCGUUCAUUGUCAACUGGGUGGAUUAUGUAGAGGCCGGAGUCACGAUAGAUUGCGGCUUGGUUUGAUAGUAGAUCGGAUUACUCAUUGCUGAGGUGUUACUAUCUAUUCAGAAUAAAGAUUCGGUAAUUUCGAAAUCUUUAUUUCACCCCGAUUCGUUCACACAUGGAUCCAUGGUUAGGAUCGCCGAAUGUUUUAUUUUUCCGCUACGCCGUAGGGGUGUCAGCGUUCCAACUACUUGUUCAUGCAUCUUUCAAUGAUUCGUUUACAUAAUAAUCACAUACCAUUUAAGCAUACACUACAAUACUCAAACAUAUUCAUUGAUAAUUUGACACUUGAGCCAUGAAACGUAAAUGUGGGCUCUAUCACCACUCACUGGAUACACGUAUCUCUAACACACCAAAUGACUCAUAAAGUCGAACAUAUCCCAAAAAGUGAAGCAUAUAGCUAACACUCUCUAUCACACCAAACAUGCAAUUUUAACGACUAAAAACUCAAUUUAAAGGAUCAAAUAACAUCAAAAACUAAUAAGGAAUCAAAUCGUCACCUUAGUUGACGAAAAACCUAAAAAUUCAACAAUGGAGAAAUCUAUGGUUUUUUUGGAUGUUUUUCUUGAAAUAUUAUGGAGAUUUAUGGCUUGGGCAAUGAUAGAAAUCUAAGGAACUAAGUUUAGGAAUCAAAAUUGAGUGAGAGGAGCUUUGGAAUACAAUGGACGACAAAACAAAAAUAUGGAGAAGAGACUAAUGUGGGAUUUAUAAAGAUGAAGAGGGAAAAUAGGGUGGAAAUUGAAAUUUGGUUUAAUUUCCUUUUAAAAACUCAUAAUUUAGAUCUUUUUACAAAUCAGUCCUUAUUUCAAAAUUGAAAACCUUUUGAACAUUAUUUUCAAAAAUUGAUUGGAUUUUCUAAAUAUCAUAAGCAAGAACAUCUCCAAUUACCAUGCUUAUGAAAUUCCCCAGCUCACUAGAGUUGAAAUCCCUAAAAUACCCCUAAAACUCAUUGACCUAAUUUUGGGGUGUUACAAAUUGGUUCAAGCUUAAGCCGUUAAACUAUUAUGGUAUAUUAAGUAUACAUAUGUAGGAAAUGAUAAGUUUUAAUGUGUUAAAGCAUAGGUAAGAUUGGUAAAUGAAAAAGGCUAGUUGUUAGAUAAAAUGUUUAGAAAUUUGGAUGUUUUAGAUGAAUAUAUUGAAUGAUUUGUUGGAGCAAUUGAAAUAGGUACCAAAAUAACUCAUUUUUACCAAAUAUAAGGUCAUCGUCCUGACAAGCAACUCCCCUCGUUGCAACAUUAACCAAUAGUGAGUCACAUCGUGACAUCGAGUGGCCUGAUGUCAUGACGUGACAAGCUAUUUGGUGAUGUGACGACUGGAGGAAUUGAUGUUGUGGCAUCGAUUCUAAAUUUUUUUAAAACUUUACAAUUUGGUCCUAUUAUGUGCUCGGGUCAAUGAAAGAGCUCUCGCAAGCUCUAUUGAGGUCUUCUAAGGUUAAGGUUUGCUUAGAAAUAACUUUGAUAAGGCUGCGCGACAUUCAUUUUGCAACCUUUUGAUCAGAUUUCUUCAAUUGUACUCCUAAAAGAGUAUGUAACCUUACUGUGUGAAAAUAUACAACGGUAACCAUCUUAUCCUUUUCUAUAAGAAAUCUUCCGAAGAUGGCAUUGUACAUUGAAAAUUAGCCUACAAUUAAAUUCACCAUAAUUACCAAAGUGUGGUCAUCAUCUCCUAUAUGGAUGAAAAUAGUAAGCCUUUGGUUGGUAUUAACUGGUUGGCAAAUCCAAAGAUAUGCAAUAAAGGAUUCAAGUCUUUCUUAAGAAGUUCUAGCUUUAUGAUUCAAGCCUCCCACUAAAAAGAUAUCUAUCACACAAUUAUUGUAAAAAAGAAUCCUCUAAUUGUAUAAUUUCUUACUAACACAAAAACUACUAUCGUGUCACUACCAUAAUUGGUAACUAACUCGUCGUCAUUGUAAUUAAAGGAGACAAACUUGUCCUCUAGUUGUCUUAUUGUGAACAAGUAUCCAUUGGUGCGAAUAGAUUAUUUGCAUGACUAGUUCAAGUGAGCUUCAAUUUUCUCUAAGUUCAACUUAAGAUCAGGAUAUUAUCUAUUAAAAGUGAAAGGGUCAAACAUGCCGAAGACUACAUUGAAGCUCAAUAUAGACAUUAUGAAUUUGUGGCUCGAACGAAAAGAAAAGCCAAAAAAAAGAGUCAAAAAUCCAUUGGUUCAACCCAACCCAAGCAUUAAAAAUAAUGAAACAAGAACCCCUAAAAUUACUUAAAGACAAUCAAGGCAAAAAGGAAAAGUCAAAACUAAUGGUUAAAGCUUCUGCUUUUAAACUUUGAAUUUCUCCUUUCCUCUUCCUUUCCAACUUCAUCAAGCAUUAUUUAAUACAAAGUUAUGGUAAUAAUAUGGAAUGGAUAAGAAAUUAAAUUUAAAACUAAAAAGGACGAGAAAAUUGAAAAACUAAAAAAUUGAGAUUGAGUGGAAAGUUGAAGGAAAUGAGAUUUUAGAUGAGAACCAUAUUGAAGAAAAAAUAUGAUCAAAUAUUGGGAGAGACUAAAGAGACAUGAUAAUGGAGAGAGAGAGAUAUGAUAGUUUAAUAUUUUUUAAAAAAAAUUUCAACGUUUGGACUUUUAGUUUUAUGAGUUCUAGUUAUACUCCUUUACACUUAUUUAGAGCCAAAAAAUGAGUAGGCUUAAGUCGGGGUUAUUUUGGACUUAGAUUUUCUUGGGAUCAAGCCUUUUCGAGCUCGAAAUUUUUUCAAAUUUGAGCUUAGAUCGAGCCAUGCAGGAUCUAACAGAUUAAAAUAAUUUUGAAAUUUAUAAGUUACAAAUACUUUAAUUUUGAAUGAAAUAAUUCAUAUUACUUUUAUAUGAAGACAAUACAAUUCAAUUUGCCUUAUAAAAAGCAUAAAUUAUAUAUUUAAUAAAUUUAUUUUAUAUAAAAUAAUUAAAACGCUUAUUAUAUGUAAAAUUUAUUAUUUUGUGAUAUUAUAUGAAUUAACAAAAAUAUCUUUUAUUAGUUAUUAUUAUAUAUAAAUAAAUUUUUAUCUUUUUUAUUAAAUUUAUGUAUUCUAAAAUAUGUAUUCCAGAACCCAAAUAUAUUAUAUUAAACCUAAACUCAAAUAAUAUACUCAUUAUUACCCAAACUGAAAAUAAACUAACUAUAGCCCAAAUCUCAAGUCCAAAAUAAAAAGAAAUUAAACCCAAUAUCCAAAUACAAUUUGUAAAAGUUAAAGCCCCAUUCAAAAUCUAAUUUAAAAAUAAUAAUUUAUUAAGAUAUUUUAAUAUAAUUAUAAACAUGUAUUUUAAUAUACUAAAUUACACAUAACUAUUGAUAUUAUAUAUUUUAUUAUAAUCUAUACUAUAACAGUUGUCAUAACGUUGCCUACAUAAGAGUAUGGGGGCCUAGUAAGCAAAGUUAGACAUGGAGGGCCUAAAUUAAUGUAGAGUCGCCAUUAACCAAUUAGGGCUAAGUUGAUUAGCCACCUAUCGUCUAAAAGUUUAGAAUUAAUACUACGAAAAAAAUUCUAACAGUCUAGACUCGAUCUCAUCACCAAAUUUUGGGUUCGGGAGUACGGUUAUGUGUGGAGAAGGUUAUAGCAACCCCACAACGCCUAUCCGAGGAUAGUCCUACAGGGUCUUAGGAGCUAGGGUUUUUUAUUAUUAUUUAAGCAUAUUAAUGCCUUAACCUAAGCUAAAAUCUUAUGGGAAUCUUAAAUAAAAACUCUAAAGAAAAUGUCUCCGGUUUACUUGUAACUUGAUUAAGAUGUGUUCACCAAACUUAUCCAAUUUGAAACUUAAAUUAGAUAUUUUUACUUUUAACGGGAAUCUUAAAGGAUACCUAAAUAAUUUUAGUAAAAUACCUUCAAUUCUUAAAAUUAAUUCUAUUUUAGAAUUCUAGAAAAAAAAACCUAGAAAUUACCAAUGAAUUAAGAGAAAUAUUAAAAUACAUCUACAACUUAUUCGAUCUAUUAUUAUUAUUUUUUAAAAUAUUUAAUUAAUAACGUUGAACCUAUCAAGAUGUUACGAAAGUAUCCUAUGACAGGUUUAUGAUUUAUCUUACUUUAAAAUUCUUGAUCUAAGGUUUAAAUUCAUCAAAAUCUCAAAAUAAUAUAUCUUAAAUAAUAUUUAUUAGCUUCUCACAAAGUUUCUAAAAUAAAAUACUUAGAAAGACCUACUCAUGAUUUACAAUUCACCUACAAAAAUUUUUAGUUUUAAUCUUGAAUAAAGUCCUAAAGAAUUUUUACCUAUUAAUUUAAGAUUCUAAAGAGGAAUCCUAAACGAUAUUUAAAAUUAGUUUAAAACCCUAAAAAAAUCCUACAUAUUAUUUAUAAUUUUUCUAGGGUAAAUGGUAGAUAAGAUCUUAAAGACUAACCUAAAUCCAAAUAUAAAAACCUUACGGUUUCAUUAAAAUGUAACACCUACUUAACUAACUUCAUGUCAACAAUUAGAGGAUGGAAAAAUGACCUAAAGUUCUAUCUUUUAAAACGAAUAGCAAUAAAAUAGGAAAAUUAAUUAAAUUGACUAAAGUUAAUGAAAAGUUAAAACUCUUUAAAAAAUGACAAUAAGAAAAAGAAAACUUAAAUAAAUGAAAUAAAUAUUUAUCAAUAAUACACAUUAUUCAUAAUACAAUAAAAGAAUCAAAGUAACAUAAACAAAUAAUAUUAAAAUGCAUGUAAGGGGAAUGUGUAAAAAAAACCAUAAAUAUAAAUAGACAUGAAAAUAAAUAAAGAUGAAAUAAGAAAAAAUAAAAAUUAUACAAGUGCGAAUAAAUAUAAAACAUAAAGAUAAAGUGCAUAAUUAACAUUAAAUAUAUAAGGUAUAAAUGCAAAUGAAAGGAAAGAUAUAAGUAUUAAUAAUUUAUUAAAAUGGAAGCAAAAUGACAUAGCUUAAUUUUGGGACUAAAAGAUAAAAAAUGUGGAAGACAGAGGACUGAUGUAGUAAUUAAUUUGCUUUUAAUUUUAAAAUUUCAGAUUAAACCAAAGGUUUGAAUAAACAAAAGUGCUACGGGUGUAAAUAGGCUAGAGAGUGAGGGCGGUGUUGCAAAAAAUGGGGUAUUUUUUUGUAAAUUUAAAAAGUAAGGGGAUGGGAAUAUAUUACCCAUUUUUGGCACCUAUAAAAGGGAAAAACUAUUCAUUCUUUCCUUUUUAACCUCAUUUAAAAAAACAAAAUCUUCUUCUUUAUUUUCCUCUUAUGUUGGCCAUGGCUCCUGUAACGUCCCAAAAUUUUAAUUUUGGGUAUUGUGAAUGUGUGACACAAAAUAUCUAUCUACUUUAGUGGUUAUGUGUUCUGGGUGUAUUUGGGAGGUCCCAAGUUCAAGUCAAAGACUUGGUCAAAUUUUGGUAUCUUUGGUUAGUAGGCUUUUAAGUAAAAGUUGGCAAAUAAUUAAUAGAAUGAGCUUGCUGGUUUGGUGGAUAAGUGAAAUGUUGGUGUGAAGGAGUUCCUGUGUUCGAAUCUUGGCGUGGGCAUUAUUUUUGCUCAUGCGUCCAGGAGAGUUUGAUGGAGAGAAAUAAGGUAUUGGGGUGGUUAUCAAAUAUUUUGUUCAUAUAUUUUGUUUUCCUUUUUUUUUACUUUUCCCAAAAUCCUUCCACCCUCUUACCGUUUUUCUCUUUAUUGCUGCUGAAUUUCAGCUCUCUUUCACCCUUCAUCUUCUUGAUUUGUCUUUUCCCACUUUGCCUCGUGUCGCUCCAUGUUUGUCUGGGAUUGUUCGGUAAGUUUUAGAUAGGUGAUUUGUCUUCGUUUGUUCAUUUUCUUCUAAAGUGUUUUGUUUAUGCCAAUUAGGGGAGGAUUCAAGGGCUUGUAAUCACCAAUCGGAGUCUUAGUUUGUGUGGGAAUUACUGUUCAUCAGUUGAAGGUAAGGUUUAGUCGCUUAUGGGUUAAAACCUCGAUACAAGUUUGAUUUGGGAUCACGUUACGUGAGACUAAAUUAGUGUUAUUUGUUCAAUUAUAGGCUCUAAAGUGCUCAAGGACUGUUUUAGCAUCAAUAAAAACCAGGUGUGUACCCGAAACGUAACAAACAGGAUUCGGUGAAAAGUUAAAAUUGCUUGUUGUUUUGACAGUAGCAGUAGGCUAAAUUUGAAAAAUCACCAUAAGUUGUGGAAAUUGAAUUGGAGGAUGAAAAAAAAUAUGGAAUUAAAUCUUAUUGAGUCUAGUUUCUCAUAGAAGAAACGGUUUAAAUAAUGGAAUUGUAAAUCGUGAGAUAUAAUAAGUUUUGUAAGACAAGGUCAGAAUGAAUUCGGGUUCCCCUGUUUUGACUUUGGAAAAUCAUAAAAAAUUGGUAACAUCGUCCAAGUUUUUUAUUAAUGAGUUUAUUUUUAAUAGAAACAAAUGGUAACAUCAUCCAAGUUUUUUACUAAAAGAUAAUUAAUUUUUAGCAAAGAAAGGUCGAAGCUGUCAGACAGCAGAAUAGGGGUAAGUUUGAAGAUUUUACUGUAGUUAUUGGCUGAAUCAAAAAUUCUAAAAAUUUUAUGGUAGAAAACUAUUUGAGUCUAGUUUCAAAGACAUCAAGCGAAUAUUAAUUUGGUAUUUUGUAGCUCAAGAUAUAAAUAAAUUAGUAACAGUGACUCAAGUAGACAACUUUGAAGGAAGAUAUAAGUAAAUAAUGAAAACAUAUAUGAAUAUUUAGCUAGCACGGGUUACAUUAAAAAUGGACCACGCGGUCAAGGCCAAUUUGGGCUGAGUGGGCCACACAGGCGUGUGGGCCCAAACAGGCAGACCACAUGGGCAUGUGAGCCCUUUUUCAUUGAAUUGAUUGCUAAGGUUGCACGAGUUGCUCAAGUCGACUGUGAACCUACUGUAGGGUCGGUAAGCAUCACUUAGACCUUUAAUUGUGUGAAUUGACUGUUUGAUUUAUUUAUGUGUUGAGCAUGAUGAUAGUAUGCUUGUAUACUAAACUGGUUAUAUGUACUGAUGUCCUGAGAUAGAAUGUUAUGACUUGUAUGUUGCAUUGCAUGGGUUUGGGUUGAUUAUAUUUGGAGGAAGUGUAUUGAAAGGCUCUUAAGCCUAACAUACUGGCAGCUCAUCUGCAAAUUACUGUUUUGUGCCACAUUCGGUACUACCUGGAGUGUAGGGAUGGGUGGGUUGAUUUGAUCUCCACAUGGAGUGUAGGGUUGGACGGAGAUGGUGUGUAGAGACUGGUUGGGUAGGACUUUGUUAUUGAAUACUGCAUGACUGCUACUGAUACUAUGAUGGGCUAAGGUCGUACUGUAGAUUUGAUAUUGUACUGAGAUGGGUUAAGGCCCUACUGCAUAUUUGGUGCUAUACUGAGAUGGGCUAAGGCCUAAACACUGAAAAAGGGCUUAGGCCUAGGACUAUUUUAACUGUGCACUGUGAUUUGCUAUUGUUUGUUUUCCGUGGGAUUACACACUGAGUUAUCGUAAACUCACCCCUUUUGUUUAAAUGUGCACAGGUAAUCUCCAGAUUUAGACGAAUCGGUGUGGCGGAAGAUUCGGUAGUGAUCGCGAUUUUGGACUUUCAUGGUUUUUAACCCAUAUUUACAAUAAUUGGUUUUAUUUCUAUUAUAUUUUUACUGGCUAAGUUUUUGGGUUGUAAUUGGACUUUCGGACUUUGAUGUUGGGUUUUAAUUAUCUUUAUCUUAUGGAUUACAACUGCUAGUAGUAGGAAACCUCGAUUUUCAAAAGAAACAAAUGUUUUUCCUAAACACACGAUUGUUUAAUCUGUUUUAAAAGCUUACACAAACGAAUAACGUUUUGAAACUAUUGAUUAAAUGUGCAUCACAAUUUUGGAACUAAUAAGAUAUUAAGAUAAGAAAUUUAAUGGAAAUGGUUUUAACUUGACGACACGGUUUU